GUUUGAGAACACGUGACCUAAUCUGAUCAUACGAUUGUGUCUAGGAUUUGGAAGAAGGGGUUUUCUGGCUACAUCGUGCGCUCGAGGCUCGAAGGUUUUGCGCUCAUAGCCUAUAUGUUUUUCCCUCCACUCUCUCGCUAGCUCGCUUGUGCCACUGCUCCGCCUACCCUUUUCGCAACAUUGACGCAACCUAUAAAUACUGGAACAAAAGAACAACUUCCUUGACUCCUGCUGAAACUGCACUUAAUCGGGACACGGAUCCCUGUUGUCAAGUGAAAGGAAAUAUUGAGACGGGGGUUUAUCUGGCAGCGAUUUGAGCUGUGUCAUCCCACUCGAUCACUGGUCUCCGAGGCGCAUAGCAAACCGUUAUUGUCCUAUUGCUUUGUCGCGCUGGUAUUUGCAGUGUGUGAACAAAGGACUGGGGAUAGUCGGCUCGGCAGAGAGCGUCAGUGGAAAGCAGGCGGGCUGUUUACAAUAAUAACACGAUCCCGGUGACGUCACCUAACUGACAGAAGCCUCCGCCAGAGGUAAAGCCGCUUAACCAUCGCCAACACGCUAUACUUGGAAAGUGGUUACAUCAUCGAGGUACAGAAGGAGGGCGGGACU
rnacentral:lncRNA from 1 species